AUUGAACGCUGGCGGAAUGCUUUACACAUGCAAGUCGAGCGGCAGCACGGGGGCAACCCUGGUGGCGAGCGGCGAACGGGUGAGUAAUACAUCGGAACAUGCCCAGUCGUGGGGGAUAACACUUCGAAAGAAGUGCUAAUACCGCAUACGUCCUGAGGGAGAAAGCGGGGGAUCUUCGGACCUCGCGCGAUUGGAGUGGCCGAUGUCAGAUUAGCUAGUUGGUGGGGGAAAGGCCUACCAAGGCAACGAUGUGUAGCUGGUCUGAGAGGAUGAUCGGCCACACUGGGACUGAGGAACGGGCCAGACUCCUACGGGAGGAAGCAGUGGGGAAUUUUGGACAAUGGGGGCAACCGUGAUCCAGCCAUUCCGCGUGAGUGAAGAAGGCCUUCGGGUUGUAAAGCUCUUUCGGCAGGAACGAAACGGCGAGCUCUAACAUAGCUUGCUAAUGACGGUACCUGAAGAAGAAGCACCGGCUAACUACGUGCCAGCCGCCGCCGUAACAC
rnacentral:rRNA from 1 species